rnacentral:rRNA from 1 species
AAUCAACGCUGGCGGCGUGCCUCAGACAUGCAAGUCGAACGCGAAAGUUCCCUUCGGGGGGCGAGUAGAGUGGCGCACGGGUGAGUAACACGUAGGUAAUCUACCUUUGGGUGGGGAAUAACAGCCGGAAACGGCUGCUAAUACCGCAUAAUGCAGCGGCUCGACAUCGAGACAGUUGUCAAAGCGGGGGAUCGCAAGACCUCGCGCCUAAAAGAGGAGCCUGCGGCGGAUUAGCUUGUUGGUGAGGUAAUGGCUCACCAAGGCAUCGAUCCGUAGCCGGCCUGAGAGGGCGGUCGGCCACACUGACACUGACAUACGGGUCAGACUCCUACGGGAGGCAGCAGU